AUACACACCUACCUACCGAGAGACCUCCAAACAGAGACAUCAACACAGAAACCUCCGCAGAGAUAACCAGAUCUCCAUAUGCAAACCCAUGUAAAAAGAAACCUAGAGAAACAGAUGCCCAGAUGAAGAGGGGUUUCCAGACAGAUUCUUGGCUGACGUUUCUGUCAGUGGUGUGAAAGGACAUUUACCCAGAUUCUAUAGAUAUUUUGGUUAUGCACUCAACAAACCUACAAUGAAACUACCAGAAUACAAAAGCAAUUGUGAACUCCAGAGAGUGCUAGAAAACAUUAUGGAAGAGGGUAUAGUUUAUGUUAAUUAUAGAGGACUAAAGAGAUGUAGAAUAGGAGAGCUGAAAAAGCCUCCACUUCCAGUGGCUCUUAGAGUGUAAUUAGUCCAAGGGACAGCAAGCUGCCUUCUAGCAGAAUCGUUGUGAUCCCAAAGCCCACAUGACUGGGGCCUCUCUCUGGUCCUUUAUACAGUAAUUAAUAUUUAAAAGAUCUCGCUAAAGCCCUGUCAAGUCCUGAAGCAAGAUUUUGAAAAAUAAAAAAACUCAUAAAACACAAAAUAGAACAAAA
rnacentral:lncRNA from 1 species